GACAAUCAUCAACAUCGCUGACUUCGGAGUCAAGCAAAAGCCGGACUGAACAGAGGAGGCGACGCGAAUCAAUGGAGCCUGAUGUAACGUUAACCGGUCAUGAGUCAUGACUGUUGUUGACUAGGCUAGCGUUAGACACUGGACAACUUUGUUACAACUCUAGUUGAAGGAUGACAUCUUCAUCCCUGAAAAGGUUUUCAUCCUGGAGGAAAAUGUGCAGGAGGAGGCAGAGAAGGAAAGAACAGUUAGUACAGCAUGCCAAACUGACCCCUGGGUGCCAGACUGUUCCUGUGCUGUGGAGGAGAAGAGGUCCACCGGGACCAUCACUAAAGAGCUCGAGGCUCAGCUAGAUUGCGCUCACGACCAUCAGUAUACAACCGAGUCCUGCCCCUAUAAGCCACAGAUGGAGCUGACGGAGAGUGGGAGUGAGAUCAGUGAAGACUAGAACAAUCACAAUCACAGUGUGAGCCAAGAUAUACUAUCGAAGAGUGUGUGCAAGAUCCGAAAUACAUAGUCUUUGAUAGCAAGCUGAAGGAGUUGUUCAAUGUCUGCCAUGAGCCAGCAUGUUGAGCAGGUGUCAUCAGUUCAUCCCUGAAAAGAAAUGGGUUUGCCAUCACCAUGGAGACAGUGUGUUGUGGGCCACAGGAGGAAGUGGGAGUCCCAGACCAGAGUGGGAAAGUUGUUUGCAGGGAAUCUGUUGGUGCCAUCAGCGGUCUUCCUUACUGGCGGCUCCCACUCCACUUUUGUGGAAACAUGUCACCUCCUCAGCCUGGUGUCCAUGUCGCUGCGACAGUUCGCAAACCAACAGCGCAUCUACAUUGUGCCAGAGGUUAACUACAUGUGGACCCAGCACACGGAGGCCCUUCUGGCUACAAUUGGUGACAGUCCACCAAUCGUAUCUGGAGACGCACAGUGUGAUUCGCCAGGACAUUGUGCCUCCUAUGGCACUUACACCAUCCUGGACUCUGCUUCCCACCUGAUCCUCGCCCAGGAGACUGUGCAUGUGACUGAAGUGAAGAACAGCUACUGGUUGGAGACAGAGGGAUUAGAGAGAUGCCUGCAACACAUUGAGCAUUGAAACCCUGGCCACUGACAGGCAUCCAAGGGUGAGGGUGCACUUCAGGGACUCACAUGCUGAUAUCAUUGCCAAAGGUGUGAAGAAACAGCUGGUGGCCAUCGGGAAGCCAGAGUGUACUGCCAUGGGUGAGGGCAUUAAUGCACCACUUGUGGUAAUGUGCCUGCACUGCUGGUGGGAGUGUCCAGGUGCUAAAAGAAAAGUGGAUCACCGCAGUCCACCACAUCACAAAUGAACACCAGUGGGUCACUGGAGACACACUCAACUGCUAUGAGCACCCCCCUUACACACCUGAAGAAGAGGCAGUGAGGAAAAUCGUCCUCAACCCGAGAUUGUUGAAGGAUCUCAAGAAGACAGGUGAACUCGAGAGUGUACAUGCCCUGUACACUAAAUACGUGCCCAAGAGGAACAAGUUCGGCCAGCAGGGGAUGGUCGCAAGACUCCAAGUGGCUGCCUUGGACCACAAUUAUUCGGUGGACAGACAGUAGGCUACAACAAAGGAGGGAGUGCUCCGUUUCAAGCAGGAGUUCUCCAAGGCUGCCAGGGUGUUUGUGGUGAAACCCAUCAAGAAGGAGAAGACAUGGUGUUUCCGGUCUGAGCUACUACACGACAUCGUAGACCGCUGUGCCAAUGGACCAUCCCAGCGGACUCUCCUGAGUGCCCAAAGAGAGAGAGUGGCAGUCACUUUGGGAGAGCGGGCUGGUGUUCCGAAAAUGGAGAAGGAACAGGCUAUUUAACAGCGAAUUCAAAGACCCAUCCAUAAAGAGAAUCGGAGUGGAAUUGUUUUUCCACAGAUUUUCUUACCCGUUUCAACGGACGUGCUACCUUGCCCCAGACCUGCUGUUUCGACUCUCUCCCGGACCUGCUGUCUCGACCUAUGAAUGCUCAGCUAUGAAAAACCAACUGACAUUUGCUCCUGAGGUGUUGAACUGUUGCACCCUCUAUUGUGGUUAUUAUUUUGAUGUAAAAAGGGCUUUGUAAAAUACAUUUGAUUGUUUGCUGUGCUGCAUGCUGUGUAUUCACUAACUGUCUGAGUGAUGGGACAUUUCUAUAGUAUCUGUAACAUAUUUAGGUGUCUGUUUAAUCUGCAACUUAACUUCUUAAAAGUGGUAAUCACCAGUAGAAACAAUAACUGUGUCCUUCCUGCUCCUCUUUCGGAGCUGGAGAAAUGUAACCACUCUCAAAUUCAUAGAGCUAUUGAUGCAAGGACUGACCAUCCAUGAUAU